GACGUAGGGCGCGAGCGUUGUCCGGAUUUAUUGGGCGUAAAGAGCUCGUAGGCGGCUUGUCGCGUCGACUGUGAAAACUGGGGGCUUAACUCUCAGCUUGCAGUUGAUACGGGCAGACUUGAGUUCGGUAGGGGAGACUGGAAUUCCUGGUGUAGCGGUGAAAUGCGUAGAGAUCGGGAGGAACACCAGUGGCGAAGGCGGCUCGCUGGGCCGGUCCUGACACUGAGACGCGAAGGCGUGGGGAGCGAACGGG
rnacentral:rRNA from 1 species